UUAUCCGGAUUUAUUGGGCGUAAAGGGCUCGUAGGCGGCUCGUCGCGUCCGGUGUGAAAGUCCAUCGCUUAACGGUGGAUCUGCGCCGGGUACGGGCGGGCUGGAGUGCGGUAGGGGAGACUGGAAUUCCCGGUGUAACGGUGGAAUGUGUAGAUAUCGGGAAGAACACCGAUGGCGAAGGCAGGUCUCUGGGCCGUCACUGACGCUGAGGAGCGAAAGCGUGGGGAGCGAACAGGAUUAGAUACCCUGGUAGUCCACGCCGUAAACGGUGGACGCUGGAUGUGGGGCACGUUCCACGUGUUCCGUGUCGGAGCUAACGCGUUAAGCGUUCCGCCUGGGGAGUACGGCCGCAAGGCUAAAACUCAA
rnacentral:rRNA from 1 species